GGAAGGGUGUUACAAAAAAAAAAAAAAAACAAAGCAAGCAAGAAAAGCUCUUAGGUUUGCAACACAUUGGAAAACCGGGGGAGUGCCCCGCCUCGUCCGUUCUCGGUGCCCCGCGAGGGCCUUCCGGGUUUUAGAGCGAACCUCUCGCUAUUCUCAAUGCCCCUCACCUCCUCCGAGUUUAGGAUCCGAGGAGUCCGAGCAAAGAGUUCUCCCCCUGGGCCAUAGCAAGGGGGUGUCAGGGUGAGUUGGGGGCAUUUUUCAAGAAGCAGUAACCAUCCGUCCCACCCCCGCGUCGGUAGCUGGGCCGCGGGAGUCUGGGUUGAGAGCAAAAAUCCCGGUGGGUUUAGGCGAAGGGGAUUCCGGGGCGAAUCGGAGCCGCGAGACCGCGUUUCGCGCAUCUCCCCUUCGGUCUCUGCCUCCAGUCCCCCAGCCUGCUCCCCCUUUAAUUUUUUCCCCCCCUCUCCUUUAAUCUAAUUUCUUCCAACUCCACCUUUGUUGUUAACCGGCGUCACGCCCGGACCAGCCAAUCCCCGGCACGCUAUCAGCUUGUCAAAAAGGCUUGGCCAGCCCUGGGAAAGCAGGCCGCGGGCGCUGCCCCCCCUGCCCCUCCUCCCCCCGGCGGCGGCGGGGAGCCGCGAGGGGAGCCUGGCACCCUGGCCUCGCCGCCAGAGCCGCAGCGGGGCAGCCUCCCCGUAGGCCUUCGGUCUCCACCAUCCUGCGGGCCGGAGAUCGAACGGCCUGGGCGCGACCACCGUGUACUCUCCCACUGCCGUCGGCUGCGGUUGUCUGUCUCUGCCUCUCCACCGAGAAAGGUUUAUCUGGACGCAGGAAGCCCGAAGACAGUCUGAAGAACGCCUGCUUCCAUCAGGCGAGCCUACGGUUUGGGCCAUCGCUCCGGGGCGGCGCCAUCGCCCCCGGCUCCAGGGAUGCCAGUCUACCACAGCAGCACUGCCAGCUGGGCCGCCGACCCCUUUGGACUCUUCCCCUGUCACACAGCCUUCUCCAUCCGCACACCACGGCCUCGCUGCAGCUGUAAUUUCUCUUAUUUCCUGGGAGAACUGAGAGUCCUUUCCCAGGACUUCCACAGCCCACAUCUGCCACGUUUCACAAGCCAGGAGGAAAAUCUUGUCAAGAUCUGGUGUGUCUGGAUUUUUUAGUGGGUAGGAGGGGCCGAUUUACCUUGUUGCUCAUGAAGCUUAAGCUUCAGGGCCUCUCAUCGCAAGCCCUGUCUUUACUUUUGAUUCAUCAUUUGGUAUUAUUUUUUAUUCCCCCCUCCCCCUCCCCACAAACCCAAUUCUGCCCUUGAAACCUUACAGAGGGCAUUUUGUGAAGUACCAAGACGUGUCACACUGUACUUAGAACCUGCUGCUGCUGCUGCUAAGUCGCUUCAGUCGUGUCCGACUCUACGCGACCCCAUAGACGGCAGCCCACCAGGCUCCUCGUCCCUGGGAUUCUCCAGGCAAGAACACUGGAGUGGGUUGCCAUUUCCUUCUCCAACUUAAAACCUGCAGGGAAUGACUUUCCUGUUUUGACUUCAAAACAGCAAAGAGUUUGGAGUCAGAAGUCCCAGGUUCCCAGCCUCUGGGCUUUCCCACCUAAACAGUUGAAUUGAUGGGACCCAGAUAAUCACGAAGGUGAGAUCACUCACACUCACCUAGAGCCAGACAUCCUGGAAUUUGAAGUCAGAUGGGCCUUAGGAAGCAUCACUACGAUGGAUUUGGAGGUAGAGGUGAUGGAAUUCCAAUUGAGCUAUUUCAAGUCCUAAAAGAUGAUGCUGUGAAAGUGCUGCACUCAAUAUGUCAGCAAAUUUGGAGAACUCAGCAGUGGCCACAGGACUGGAAAAGGAGAGGCUUUUCCAUGCAGCUUGUGGGAUCUUAGUCCCCAAAUCAGGGAUUGAACCCCCUGCACGCAGCAAUGAAAGCACCCGGCCUAACCACCACUGGACCACCAGGGAAUUCCACACACCAUUUGUUGAAAAGACAAUCUUUGCCAUUUUGUAUUGCCUUGCUCCUUUGUCUAAAAUCAGUUGAUUUAUAUAUAUGUGGGUCUAUUUCUGGUGUCUGUAUUAUAUUCCAUUGAUCUAUUUGUCUAUUCUUUCAACCAUACCACAUUGUCUUGAUUACUGUAACUUUAUAUACAUCUUAAACUGGAGUACUAUCUGUCCUUGAACUUUCUUCUUCUUCUUCAAUAUUGUAUUGGUUAUUCUGGGUAUUUUGUCUCUCCAUAUAAACUUUAGAAUAGUUUGUUGACCCAGAUGGUGCAGUGGUAAAGAUCUACCUGCCAAUGCAGGAGAUGCAAGAGACAUGGGUUCGAUCCCUGGGCUGGGAAGAUCUCCUGGAGUAGGAAAUGGCAACCCACUCCACUAUUCUUGCCUGGAAAAUUCCGUGGAUGGAGAAGCCUGGCAGGCUAUAGUCCAUGGGGUCGCAAAGAGUCUAACAUGACUGAGCAUAGCACAGCACACACACAUACACGCAUAUCCACAAAAUAACUUGAUGGGAUUUUGGUUCGGAUUGCUUUGAAUCUAUAGAUGAAAAUAGCAAGAAUUGAUAUCUUAACAAUAUUAAGUUUUCCUAGUCACGAACAUGGGUAUUUCUCCAUUUAUUUAGUUCUUUGAUAUCUUUCAUCAGAGUUUUGCAGUUUUCCUCAUAUAGUUCUUAUACAUAUUUUGUUAGAUUUAUAUGAAUACUUAAUGUAUUUCAUUCUUUUUGAGUGCUAAUAUAAAUAACACUGAUUUUUAUUUACAGUUCCUCUUGUUCAUUACUGGUAUAUAGGAAAGCAAUUGACCUCUGUAUAUUAACCUUGUAUCCUGCAACCUUUCUAUAAUCAUUUAUCAAUUCCAGGAGUGUUUUUUGUUGGUUCUUUCAGAUUGUUUACAUAGAUGAUUGUGUCAUCUGCAAACAGAGAUAGUUUUACUUCCUCCCUCCUAAUCUGUGUUUCUUACUUCCUAAUCUUUCUUUUCCUUUUCUUUUUCUCUUCUCCUUUUUGAGGAUUUCUAUGUAUGAUGUUGAAAGGCAGUAGUGAGAAGGGACAUACCUACCUUGUUCCUAAUCUAAAUGGGAAAGCGUCAAGAUACUGACCAUUAAGUAUGUUAGCUGUACCUUUUUUGUUGAUGUUCUUUAUCAAAUUGAGGAGUACACUCUAUUCCUAGUAAGCUGAGAGUUUUUAUGAUGCAUGGGUAUUGAAUUUUGUCAAAUGCUUUUUCUGCCUCUAUUGAUGUUACCAUGUGAUUUUUGCCCAUUAAUGUGAUGAAUUACAUUAAUUGAUUUUCAAAUGUUGAACCAUCCUUGCAUAUCUGCAAUAAAUCCCACUUGGUUGUGUGUAUAGUUCUUUUAUACAUUGCUGAAUUCUUUUUUUUUUUUUGGCUGUGCUGGGUCUUCGUUGAUUUUCUCUAGUUGCAGCAAGUGGAGAGCUAUUCUCUAGUUGCGGUGUGCAGGCUUCGCAUUGUGGUGGCUUCUCUUAUUGUGGAGCAUGGGCUCUAGAGUGCUUGAGAUUCAGUCGUUGCAGUGCGUGGGCUUGGUAGUUGUGGCUCCCAAACUCUAGAGCACAGACAGGCUCAAUGGUUGUGCACAGGCUUAGUUGCUCUGUAGCAUGUGGUGGGAUCUUCCUGGAGCAAGGAUUGAACCUGUGUCCCCUGCAUUGGCAGAUGAAUUCUUUACCACUGAACCACCAGAGAAGCUCUAUACAUUGUUGAAUUUGAUUAGCUAAUAUUUUGUUGAGAAUUUUUGCAUCUAUAUUCAUGAGAGAUAUUGAUCUGUAGGGUUUUUUCUUUCUUUCUUGUAAUGUCUUUGGUUUUGGUAUUAGGAUCUCAUAGACUGAGUUAGGAAGUACGUUGUCCCUUGGUAUCCACAGGGGAUUGGUUCCAAGACCCCCACAGAUAUAAAAGUCCACAGAUGCCCAAGUCCCUUGUAUAAAAUGGCUUAGUAUUUGUAUAAAACCUAUGUAUGAAUAUACCCUCCAAUAUACUUUAAAAUGAGCUUUCCUGAUGGCUUGGUGUAAAGAAUUCACCUGCCAAUGCAGGAGACUUGAGUUCAACCCCUGGGUCGGGAAGAUGCCCUGGAGAAGGAAAUGGCAACCCACUCCAGUAUUCUUGCCUGGGAAAUCCCAUGGACAGAGGAGCCUGGCGGGCUACAGUCCAUGGGGUCACAAAAGAGUGGGACACGACUUACUGAUUAAACAACAAGCAAGCAAGCAAAGUCGCCCAGUCGUGUCCAACUCUUUGCGACGCCGUGGGCUAUGGCCUACCAGGCCCCUCCGUCCAUGGGGUUUUCCAGGCAAGAGUACUGGAGUGGGUUGCCAUUGCCUUCUCCACAACAACAUACUUUAAAUCACCUGUAGAUUGCUUAUAAUACCUAAUACAAUGUAGAUGCUAUGGAAAUGGUUGAAAAUGCAUUGUAAAUGCAAUAGAAAUAGUUGCUGGCACACGGCAAAUUCAAAUUUUGAUUUUUGGAGAUUUCUGGAAAAUUAUUUUUUGGAUUAUUUUCAAUUCACAGUUAAUUGAAAUCUGUAGGUGUGGAACCUGGGGAUACAGAGAGCUGACUGUAUUCCCUCCACUUCUAUCUUCUCGAAGAGACCAGAGAAUUGUUAAAAUUUCUUUUUUCAACAUUUGGUAGACAUCAGUAAUGAACCCAUCUGGGCCUUGUUGUUUUGGAAGGUUGUUGCUUGUUGUUUUGGAAGGUUACUAACGAUUGAUUCAAUUUCGUUCACAGAUAAAAGACCUAUUCAGAUUUCUUCUUGUGUGAAUUUUGGCAGAUUGUAUCUUUUAAGGAAUUGGUCUAUUUCAUCUAGGUUAUCAAAUUUGUGGGCAUAAAGCCAUUUAUGAUGUUCUUGUAUUAUCCUUUUAAUGUUCAUGGGAGCUGUACUGUUGUCCCCUCUUUCAUUUCUGGUAUUAGCAGUUUUUAAGAAGUUAUUUAUUGUCAGUGGCGUCUCCAUUGCUGCAGGUGGGCGGUCUCUGGUUGUGAUGAGUAUGGGUUGCUCUUCGUUGCGAUACAUAGGCUUCUCAUUUGGUGGCGUCUCUUGUUCCGAAGCACAGGCUCUAGGUGUAGGGGCUUCCGCAGUUACAGCACGUGAGCUUGGUAUUUGUGGCCCACGGGCUUUAGUUUCUGUGCGGCAUGUGGAAUCUUUCCAGACCAGGGAUCGAAGCCCCUGUGUCCCCUGGAUUGGCAGGCAGACUCCUAUCUGCUGUACCACCAGACAAGUCCUGAUAUUAGUAAUUUGUGUCUUCUCUUCUCUUUUUUUCCUUAGUUACUCUGGCUAGACGUUUAUCAAUUUUAUGGAUCUUUUUCAAAGAACCAGCUUUUGGUUUUGUUGAUUUUCUCUGUUGACUUCCUAUUUUCAACGUCAUUGAUUUUGGCUCCUAUUCUUUUCUACUGUUUCUUUUCUUUUGUUGAAUUUGGAUUUAGUUUGCCCUUUUUGUUCUUGUUUCCUAAAGUGGAAAUUUAGAUUAUUGAUUUUAGAUCUUUCUUCUUUCUAAUACUAUCUUCAUUUGUUAAUAUAAAUUUGAGCAAUGGUUUUGCUAAAUCCUACAAAUUUGGAUAAGUUGUUUUUGUUUUCAUUUAUUUCAAAAUAUUUGAAAAUUUCUCUUGAAAUUUCUCCUUUGUCCCAUGUAUUACUAGAAAUAUGCUGCUCUGUCUCCAAGUAGUUGGGAAUUUUCCAGCUAUCUUUCUGUUGUUGAUUUCGAGUUUCAUUCCAUUGUGGUCUAAGGGUAGACAUUGUAUGAUUUCUAAUCCUCUAAACUUACUAAAGUGUGCUUUAUGGCCCCAAAUAUGGUAUACCUUGGUGAUUGUUCCAUGUGUGAGUUUGAGACCAAUGUGUUGUUGGAUAAGUAGUCUAUAGAUGUCAAUCAUAUACAGUUUAUUUACAGUGUGGUUGAGUUCAACUAUGUCCUUACUGCCUGCUGGAUCUGUCCAUUUCUGAUAGAGAAGUGUUAGAGUCUCCAACUGUUACAGUGGAGUCAUCUAUUUCUCUUUGCAGAUCUAUCAGUUUUUGCCGCAUGUAUUUUGACACUGUUGCUAGGCCCAUACAAGUGAAGGAUGGUUGGGUACUUCCCUGGUGGUCCAGUGGUUAAGAAUCUACCUUGCAACGCAGGGGACGCAGGUUCAAUCCCUGGUCGGGGAACUAAGAUCCCAUAUGCCAUGGGGCAACUUGGCAACUAAGACCUGCUACAGCUAAAUAAGUGUUUUUUUUUUUUUUUUAAAAAACAUCUUCUUGGAGUAUUAAGCAACAGUUAGAACUGGACAUGGGACAACAGACUGGUUCCAAAUAGGAAAAGGAAUACGUCAAGGCUGUAUAUUGUCACCCUGCUUAUUUAACUUAUAGGCAGAGUACAUCAUGAGAAACGCUGGGCUGGAGGAAGCACAAGCUGGAAUCAAGAUUGCCGGGAGAAAUAUCAUAACCUCAGCUAUGCAGAUGACACCACCCUUAUGGCAGAAAGUGAAGAAGAACUAAAGAGCCUCUUGAUGAAAGUGAAAAAGGAGAGUGAAAAAGUUGGCUGAAAGCUCAACAUCCAGAAAACUAAGAUCAUGGCAUCUGGUCCCAUCACUUCAUGGCAAAUAGAUGGGGAAACAGUGGAAACAGUGGCUGACUUUAUUUUUCUGGGCUCCAAAAUCACUGCAGAUGGUGAUUGCAGCCAUGAAAUUAAAAGAUGCUUACUCCUUGGAAGGAAAGUUAUGACCAACCUAGACAGCAUAUUAAA